CCAGCCUGGGCGACAGGAGCGAAACUCCGUCUCAAAAAAAAAAGGAAAAGCGUGGCCUGGGUGAGUGAAGGAGGGAAAGGAGGGCCUCAGACGUUGUGUCUGGGAUUCAGGAGAGAAGAUGACUGAGGAGGAGGUGGAGACCGUUCUGGCAGGACACGAGGACAGCAACGGCUGCAUCAACUACGAGGCCUUCUUGAAACACAUCCUAAGCGUCUGAGUGCUGCAGAUCCAGUGGGGUCCGGACACUGGGCCCCGCAGGCGAAAGCACGUUCCAGCCACCAGGAGGCCACCUAUUGUUUCAAAAUAAAGACUGGGUUCCUC
rnacentral:sRNA from 1 species